UACGUAGGGGGCAAGCGUUGUCCGAAGUACUGGGCGUAAGGCGCGCGUAGGCGGGUUGGUAAGUCCGCUGUGAAAGCCCGGAGCUUAACUCCGGAGGGUCGGUGGAUACUGCCAGUCUUGAAGGUGCUAGGGGGAGAUGGAAUUACCGGUGUAGCGGUGAAAUGCGUAGAUAUCGGUAGGAACACCAGUGGCGAAGGCGGUCUCCUGGGGCAUUCUUGACGCUGAGGCGCGAAAGCUGGGGGGAGCAAACGGGG
rnacentral:rRNA from 1 species